rnacentral:rRNA from 8 species
GCAUAUCAAUAAGCGGAGGAAAAGAAACCAACAGGGAUUGCCCUAGUAACGGCGAGUGAAGCGGCAACAGCUCAAAUUUGAAAUCUGGCUUCGGCCCGAGUUGUAAUUUGCAGAGGAAGCUUUAGGCGCGGCACCUCCUGAGUCCCCUGGAACGGGGCGCCACAGAGGGUGAGAGCCCCGUAUAGUUGGAUGCCUAGCCUGUGUAAAGCUCCUUCGACGAGUCGAGUAGUUUGGGAAUGCUGCUCAAAAUGGGAGGUAAAUUUCUUCUAAAGCUAAAUACCGGCCAGAGACCGAUAGCGCACAAGUAGAGUGAUCGAAAGAUGAAAAGCACUUUGAAAAGAGGGUUAAAUAGCACGUGAAAUUGUUGAAAGGGAAGCGCUUGUGACCAGACUUGCGCCGGGCUGAUCAUCCGGUGUUCUCACCGGUGCACUCUGCCCGGCUCAGGCCAGCAUCGGUUCUCGCGGGGGGAUAAAGGCCCUGGGAACGUAGCUCCUCCGGGAGUGUUAUAGCCCGGGGCGCAAUGCCCUCGCGGGGACCGAGGUUCGCGCUCUGCAAGGAUG